rnacentral:lncRNA from 1 species
CCUGUCCCCGAUCCGCCCCAGACAGGUCUAAGCUACCUCUUUGCACCUGGGAACUCUGUGCCUUUUGAGAGUUGAAGGCUUAAAACAACAACAACCACCACAACAAAACUAUUCACCUUUUUAUCCAAUAGAAACUAAGAUCCCCCCAUGAAGCUUGGCGUUCUCAAGGACUCCUCCUGGCAAUGAACCUACAGCGAAGACCAUGCCUUGUGAUUCAGCAGAAUUACUUUGCCCAUUUUGCUUCCUAUUUUUUUU